rnacentral:tRNA from 1 species
GCCUAGAUAGUUCAGUGGUCAGAACAUCCGUUGCUUAUACCAAUGCGGUAUAUGUCCUAAUGAACGGAAGCGGGAGGGUUCGAAUCCCUCUCUAGGCG